rnacentral:rRNA from 1 species
UACGUAGGCAGCAAGCGUUGUUCGGAGUUACUGGGCGUAAAGGGUGUGUAGGCGGUUGGAUAAGUGUGGUGUGAAAUCCCCCGGCUUAACUGGGAGGGUGCGCUACAAACUGUCUGACUAGAGUGUGGGAUGGGUAAGUGGAAUUCCUGGUGUAGCGGUGAAAUGCGUAGAUAUCAGGAGGAACACCGGUGGUGUAGACGGCUUACUGGACCAUAACUGACGCUGAGACACGAAAGCGUGGGUAGCAAACAGG